rnacentral:rRNA from 1 species
UAGACGGAAAGACCCCGUGAACCUUUACUAUAGCUUGACACUGAACAUUGAAUUUUGAUGUGUAGGAUAGGUGGGAGCUUAAGAAGCAGUCACGCCAGUGAUUGUGGAGGCGUCCUUGAAAUACCACCCUUUAACGUUUGAUGUUCUAACGAAGAUUGCGAAACGUGGUCUCGGACAGUGUCUGGUGGGUAGUUUGACUGGGGCGGUCUCCUCCCAAAGCGUAACGGAGGAGCAC